CUCAGCCUCCCAAAGUGCUGGGAUUACAAGUAUGAGCCACCGUGCCCAGUCUAAACUCAGUUUUUCAUGUUUCCAUGCCAGCACCCUUCUAUUGACUCAGUCUAAUAGAUGGAGGCAAACUAGUAAAAAAAAACGCUUCUGUUUGGUGUCUGGACCCUGCUGGCCUUGAUCCUUUGCUUGCCCAGACCCAGGACCCAGUGGAAUUGAGACCUUCUUAAAGAAAACUCAGGUGGGCAAAGGGCCUCAGUGGAAAGAGUUUCUUCUGGAGGAUGUCACAGAGAAUUCCAUCCUGCAGUGCUUCUUCUCUUGUGCAGGGAUUCAAAAGGACACAAGCCUUGGCAUCACUGUGUAUUAGCCACCAGAGCAAGUGAUCCUGGAGCUGCAGCCUGCCUGGGUGGCUGUGGACGAAGCCUUCACAGUGAAGUGUCAUGUACCCAGUGUAGCACCCUUGGAGAGUCUCACCCUUGCCCUUCUCCAGGGUAACCAAGAACUGCAUAGAAAGAACUUUACGAGCUUGGCUGUGGCCUCCCAAAGAGCUGAAGUCAUCAUCAGUGUCAGAGCCCAAAAGGAGAAUGACAGAUGCAAUUCUUCCUGCCAUGCAGAACUGGACUUGAGUUUGCAAGGUGGGAGGCUCUUUCAAGGCAGCUCACCCAUCAGAAUAGUCCGGAUCUUUGAAUUCUCUCAGAGUCCCCACAUCUGGGUCUCUUCCCUUUUGGAGGCUGGGAUGGCGGAGACUGUGAGCUGCGAGGUGGCUAGGGUGUUUCCAGCCAAAGAAGUUAUGUUCCACAUGUUCCUGGAAGACCAAGAGCUGAGCUCCUUCCUUUCCUGGGAGGGGGACACAGCAUGGGCCAAUGCUACCAUUCGGACCAUGGAGGCUGGUGAUCAGGAACUGUCUUGCUUUGCAUCUCUGGGUGCAAUGGAACAGAAGA
rnacentral:lncRNA from 1 species